rnacentral:rRNA from 1 species
UACGAAGGGGGCUAGCGUUGUUCGGAAUUACUGGGCGUAAAGCGCACGCAGGCGGCUCGAUAAAUUAGAAGUGAAAGCCCCGGGCUUAACCUGGGAAUUGCUUUUAAGACUGUCGGGCUAGAAUCCAGAAGAGGGUAGUGGAAUUCCGAGUGUAGAGGUGAAAUUCGUAGAUAUUCGGAAGAACACCAGUGGCGAAGGCGACUGCCUGGUCUGGCAUUGACGCUCAUGUGCGAAAGCGUGGGGAGCAAACAGG